CCUAAAUGUUUCAACAAACUUUUUAAUUUCCUUUUUAGUACCAGUCGAACGUAAUGUGCCAGAAGACCGAAAGUCAGAGAGAAAGAAGCGGAAGUCAGAGAGAAGAAGCGGAAGUCAAACAAACUGGCAUGAAGCAAGUUACGAAGUAAUAUUCCGACGCCACAAAAAGAUCAAACUGAGCCUGGAGUCCGAAACUUGCAGUCAAAAAAUCAAAAAUUGAAGUCAACACGUUUGUGGUAAGCCAUAUGGAACGCGCAUUAAAAUGUUCUUUAAUAAUUAUUCCAUUAAUUGUUCAAAUAGCUGUUCUAAUAAAUGUUCCAAUAGCUGUCCUAAUAAUUGUUCAAAUAAUUGUUCUAAUAAUUAUUCUAAUAAAUAUUCUAAAAA